GACGAACGCUGGCGGCGUGCUUAACACAUGCAAGUCGAACGGAAAGGCCUCUUUCGGGGGGUACUCGCGUGGCGAACGGGUGAGUAACACGUGCGUAACCUGCCCUUGUCUUUGGGAUAGCUUCCUGAGACUGGGGCUAAUACCUGAUAGGAGCUCCUGCUGCAUGGUGGGGGUUGGAAAGUUUCGGCGGUUUGGGAUGGACUCGCGGCUUAUCCGCUUGUCGUUGGGUUAGUGGCUUACCAAGGCUUUGACGGGUCGCCGGACUGAGGGAGUGACAGGCGGCACUGAGACUGAGGGGCGGCACAGAUAGCUACGGGACGGAGAAGUGGGGAAGACUGACGGAGGGGUGGAGGGUUGGUGAAGCAGCGCUGUGGGCGGGAUGACGGUGUUAGGGUUGUAGAACGCUUUUGCUAGUGACGAAGCAUGGUGUGACGGUAGUGGGUAAAGAAGCAACGGCUAACUACGUG
rnacentral:rRNA from 1 species